ensembl:snoRNA
UCAGACUGAAAAUGAUCUCAGAUGUAACAGUGGUCUGAGGUCAGAUAACUGAGCCUAAAGUAUGCUGGUGCAUUAAGCUUAUCUCCUGCUCAUCUGUUGGCAGAGCGAUAAAACCCAUGUUCCAACAAAA